UUCAAAUUAAUAAUUACAGUAGACACAGCGUACGGGCUUGGGGUGACAGGAGUGUGCCUUAUCAUCAUCAUCGUGCUGUCCUGGGCAGUGAGACUACUACUUCGUAAGAUGGGCAUCACAUGCAGACUCCCCAUGAAGAAAAGUCGUGUAAAAAGGAGACCGGCAGCACGAGACAUUGAGCUGAAGGACAUAAGAACCGUAAGGAUAGAAACGGACGAGAGUGAGGAUGAAGAGGUGCAGCUGAAAACCCGCUACGACCUGCGCGGAAGAAAAGAGUAAAGGAUGACGAAAGAUCAGUACGUAUCCAGGGAGGAACGAAGUCACUAAAGUUACAAAAGUUCCAGGAAGGAAUGUGUAAAUUCAUCUUCAUAAAAAUUUUGUAAACAUUGUUCAGGGAGGAACGAAGUCAUUAAAGACACAAAACAAAAUUCCAGAAAGGAUUGUGUAAAUUCAUCCUCAUUAAAAUUUUG